UACGUAGGGAGCAAGCGUUGUCCGGAAUCAUUGGGCGUAAAGCGCGCGUAGGCGGCCCUGUAAGUCCGCUGUGAAAGUCAAAGGCUCAACCUUUGAAAGCCGGUGGAUACUGCAGGGCUAGAGUCCGGAAGAGGCGAGUGGAACUCCUGGUGUAGCGGUGGAAUGCGCAGAUAUCAGGAGGAACACCAAUAGCGAAGGCAGCUCGCUGGGACGGUACUGACGCUAAGGCGCGAAAGCGUGGGGAGCGAACAGG
rnacentral:rRNA from 1 species